GAAUUAUAAUAUUUGUGUUUUACAGUGUUUAGAUGGUAGCGUUGUGAGACACACUGUUCAAUUUGUGAUGUUGGUUCAUCCAAUAUUAUCUGAGCCUUGGUAAUCAUAAUGAGAGUAUGUCCAUACUAGACAUGAAACCUCGCCAUGUACGCUGGAGAAAUCGCCUAGCUGUGUGUUAGUGCUGUUUACCACUGAACUGCUUACGAAACUAACUUGCACUUAGCUCCUCCCCUCUCCUGCUUCAGCACAGCUGGUCUCACUAACGGAAGGCAGCUGCGACCGCUUUGUCCUGCCAUCUAGACUUCAGCCGUCGGUCAGGGUAUUGAGCACAAUACUGUUUUUAUCCUCUGUCAGAACAGGAUGAAAUGACUGACAGUGAAACUACAAUAGCCUACUAAGGGACCACUGGAGAUGACUAACAGAGACCCCUAGCCAUUAAUAGAUGGGAAAGACAGCAGUUCACUCUCUCAGGCCUGCAGAUGUCAAAGUCAUUGGAGCUGUUGGUGACUCCCUCACGAUGUGCGAUUUAUAAUAUGAAACAGAAGACACCUGAGGAAGGCCUGUGUCAACUUCAGAGUGAAUUCAAGUGGCGAGUGUGACCUACAGGACACAACUGAACGACAAACUGUUUAAGACGCUGACCCAGAGUCUGCACCAGUGGCGGCUGAGACAAAAAGAAAUGCAGAACCUGAGGUUUUACAGAAUGUAGGCCCAGUUCAGCACACCAGAAGUGGAAGGGCAGUAAUUCCAACUUCCAGGUUCCAGGAUUUUGACAUGAGCCAACGGUAAAGGUUGAGCUCCAACGGGUCAAGUGCUGGUAACCUCUGACCCAGAUGCAAGUGGAGUUAAAUGUUCAGUGAAUGGACUUGUUAUGUUAAAUGUUAAUGGUUCCUAGCAGUUGGUAAACAGUAAGGGUAGUUAAAAAGAUAAAUAACAAAAAAGGCCAACAAGUUAAAUAGUUAUGCAUCCUGGGGAAGAUUAAAAUUGAAAAGGGGGAUGUAGUAUAUGGGUUACUACAGAUGUAUAUUGAUGACAUAAGAAGGUAGGCGGGGGGCUACAGAAGGUCAAGUUAAGCUAGGAAGUGAUUUACCUUGUGUCAGGCUCUGUUCAUUAAUAAACAGUUUGGUUAACUGAAACACUUACUUAGGGGUCUCCUUCAUUAAAGUAAGUCCCACGGUCUGUAACUGCAUAAUAAGUCAAAGCAAGACAGUACUGUGUAGAAGGUGGCCAGCUCCCGAAUUAGGUGAUUAAUUUGUUGCUAACUGGGAGAUGAUCACCUGCAUAAAAGCUGG